rnacentral:rRNA from 1 species
AGGACGAACGCUGGCGGCGUGCUUAACACAUGCAAGUCGAGCGGAAAGGCCCUUCGGGGUACUCGAGCGGCGAACGGGUGAGUAACACGUGAGCAACCUGCCCUUAGCUUCGGGAUAGCUCCGGGAAACCGGAAUUAAUACCGGAUAUGACUAUGGCCGACAUCAGCCAUGGUGGAAAGUUUUUCGGCUAGGGAUGGACUCGCGGCCUAUCAGCUAGUUGGUGAGGUAACGGCUCACCAAGGCGACGACGGGUAGCCGGCCUGAGAGGGCGACCGGCCACACUGGGACUGAGACACGGCCCAGACUCCUACGGGAGGCAGCAGUGGGGAAUAUUGCGCAAUGGGCGAAAGCCUGACGCAGCGACGCCGCGUGGGGGAUGAAUGCCUUCGGGUUGUAAACCCCUUUCAGCAGGGACGAAGCGAAAGUGACGGUACCUGCAGAAGAAGCGCUGGCUACUACGCGCCAGCAGCCGC